GACGAACGCUGGCGGCGUGCCUAAUACAUGCAAGUAGAACGCUGAAGAGAGGAGCUUGCUCUUCUUGGAUGAGUUGCGAACGGGUGAGUAACGCGUAGGUAACCUGCCUUGUAGCGGGGGAUAACUAUUGGAAACGAUAGCUAGUACCGCAUAACAAUGGAUGACCCAUGUCAUUUAUUUGAAAGGGGCAAAUGCUCCACUACAAGAUGGACCUGCGUUGUAUUAGCUAGUAGGUGAGGUAACGGCUCACCUAGGCGACGAUACAUAGCCGACCUGAGAGGGUGAUCGGCCACACUGGGACUGAGACACGGCCCAGACUCCUACGGGAGGCAGCAGUAGGGAAUCUUCGGCAAUGGGGGCAACCCUGACCGAGCAACGCCGCGUGAGUGAAGAAGGUUUUCGGAUCGUAAAGCUCUGUUGUAAGUCAAGAACGAGUGUGAGAGUGGAAAGUUCACACUGUGACGGUAGCUUACCAGAAAGGGACGGCUAACUACGUGCCAGCAGCCGCGGUAAUACGUAGGUCCCGAGCGUUGUCCGGAUUUAUUGGGCGUAAAGCGAGCGCAGGCGGUUUGAUAAGUCUGAAGUUAAAGGCUGUGGCUCAACCAUAGUUCGCUUUGGAAACUGUCAAACUUGAGUGCAGAAGGGGAGAGUGGAAUUCCAUGUGUAGCGGUGAAAUGCGUAGAUAUAUGGAGGAACACCGGUGGCGAAAGCGGCUCUCUGGUCUGUAACUGACGCUGAGGCUCGAAAGCGUGGGGAGCGAACAGGAUUAGAUACCCUGGUAGUCCACGCCGUAAACGAUGAGUGCUAGGUGUUGGAUCCUUUCCGGGAUUCAGUGCCGCAGCUAACGCAUUAAGCACUCCGCCUGGGGAGUACGACCGCAAGGUUGAAACUCAAAGGAAUUGACGGGGGCCCGCACAAGCGGUGGAGCAUGUGGUUUAAUUCGAAGCAACGCGAAGAACCUUACCAGGUCUUGACAUCCCGAUGCUAUUUCUAGAGAUAGAAAGUUACUUCGGUACAUCGGUGACAGGUGGUGCAUGGUUGUCGUCAGCUCGUGUCGUGAGAUGUUGGGUUAAGUCCCGCAACGGGCGCAACCCCUAUUGUUAGUUGCCAUCAUUCAGUUGGGCACUCUAGCGAGACUGCCGGUAAUAAACCGGAGGAAGGUGGGGAUGACGUCAAAUCAUCAUGCCCCUUAUGACCUGGGCUACACACGUGCUACAAUGGUUGGUACAACGAGUUGCGAGUCGGUGACGGCAAGCUAAUCUCUUAAAGCCAAUCUCAGUUCGGAUUGUAGGCUGCAACUCGCCUACAUGAAGUCGGAAUCGCUAGUAAUCGCGGAUCAGCACGCCGCGGUGAAUACGUUCCCGGGCCU
rnacentral:rRNA from 1 species